CGUUAAGGGGGUCGUCCAGGGAGCCCUACACAGUCUGCCCUGCACCCCACACACACACACACACACACACACCUCGCUCGCUUAAGGGGGGCUUUCAGGAGGGCAUAAGGGGAGGGACUCAUGUGGAAGGGUGGGUGAUGAGUAUGAAGGUUGAGUUUAGGGUGUUGUUGUAAGGGUGAUCUGUCCAGGGAGCCCUAUACGUCUGCCCUUCACCCUACACACACACACACACACACACACACACACACACACACACACACACACACACACACACCUCGCUCGCUUAAGGGGGGCUUUCAGGAGGGUAUAAGGGGAGGGACUGAUAUGGGAGGGAGGGUGAUCAGUGUGAAGAUUGAGCUUGGAGCGUUGUUGUAAGGGUGAUCUGUAGGUUAAUAUAUUUUUCUUUUCUCUAAACUAAUUAUUUUAUCUAUUCUCCCUUCUUCUUACUUUUUAUAAUGUUUUUUUGCUUUCUAAUCUAGUUCGUGAUCUGUUUUUUUCUACUUUUUCUCUAUAUUUCUUUACAUUAUUUUUGUUCUUCCAAUCUAAUUCAUGAUCUAUUUUCCCUUUUUUCUAUUUUUUAUUGUUUAUUUUUAUCUAAUCUAUCACAGAGUACCACUGUUUUACGAUAUAUUCUCUCAUUUCUCCAUAUUUCAACUUUAUAUUGCUCUUUUUCUCGCUUCUAAUCUAUCUAUAUUCCUAUUUUAUAUUAUUAUUUUCUUACUUCUAUCAAGGGGUAACUCUCUUUAUAUGCUCAAUCUCCUUUUUAUUUAUAUCUAAUUUUGAUAGUUUUUUUCUUUCCUCUAAUUUCUCAUGGAUUAACUCUCUCUUUAGGAAAUUGGAUGCUCAUGUGUUUGCGUGUGUGUGCAUCUGUUUGUGUGUUUGUUUGAAGGGAAGUAGAUUAAUAAGGGCGUGAGGUGACUGCACUUAGCAAGGAAGAGGAUCGGGAGAGAAGGACAGGCAGGAUCUCUUGUGUCUGAAACCAUGUUGAGGGGAGGGGGUACUAUUGUGUUUUUUCUAAAGUCUAGUCUACGCCACACAUAGACUGUACAGGGACGAGACACAGAGAAGGGGUGUGGGGGGGGGUCAUGUAUGUGUGCGUAUGUUUAUCUUUUAUGUUUGUUUGUUUGUGUGUGUGUUUGACUAAGUGGCUGACUCUGACUAAUUUCCUAAGUCACUACGAGGCACAGAACUACACAGACGAGGCUAAAUCUGUGCCCUGGUGAUGGUGCGUUCCCAUGCUGGUGAGACAGACAGACAGACCGACAGACAGAGAGAUGGAUCGACAGGGAGGUGUAUUGAGAGAGUAGUUAUGAAUCACCCGCGAGUAUCGUAACACUUUUCACCCGUGGCGUCGCGUUACGUCUGAUUUUUUAAACGUCAUAUUAUUUUCUAGCAAUAAUGUGACUGUUUUUAAUUCGUUUUUCAAGGAGUGGUUAAUUAGUUCCGUUGAUUUUUUAUAUAACUUUUUACUACGUGGUUUGUAACACGCCGACGUACUCUGUCCAACUCUGCUAGAAUUGUUGAUAAAUACGACGCUUAAAACUCUGACCUCAGCCGACACACGACGGGGAGGCCCUUCGUGUGGUGCCGGGGCUGGCGCCGGUGGUUGAGUGGUAGACGUGCGGGCGCGGCGUCCAGGAGGACGCGGGUUCGAGUCCCGCCCGCCACCGCAAGCUGGGAUUUUUCAGUCACCGCAGAGUGGCCGAAGGCUACCCACAUGCUGUCCUGAAGACCACCUCUCAACCCGGACUGGCGAAAUUCUCUAAAAAGAUCAAGUGGAGCUUAGGGGGCAGCAUGAGCCAAGCAAGAUGGCACCACUAUAUAACAUCUGUCCGCGCCACUGACGGGCUGGGGCCGACCAACACGCCCCAUCAAAAAAGCCAACCGGCGCUACAGGCCGAAUUUAAAA